rnacentral:lncRNA from 12 species
UUUACCUGCUUGAAGGUUUUGCUCAAAUGUCUCCCUUCCUCCCACAGGUCUUCACCUGACCACACCAAAUUAUGUUGCCUCCUGCCUGCCACCACCCCAGGCUCUCCCCAGCACCCUGACUGGGUCUCAGACCCCUUACUGGAUUUGGACAUGGAGGUUGUCCUCAGGUCACUGUCUACUGCAAUCAUCCAAGGGCUGGAGUUGUGAUCUCAGCAUAAAGCAUGGCAGUCCAGGUCUCCUCAACCAACGGAGGCUGUGGGCAAAUGGCACAGUGACUGGCUUGGCCAUGCUUGCUUUGUUGGAAGAUGAGGAAGGUAAGGUCCAAAAAGGAGACACGACACAUGUGAAUUCAUGUCUACUUCACAAUCCUCCCUUAACAUCUCAACACCCAUGAAGUAGUUGACUGAACUAGAUGUCCAGAACAGAUGACUGCUUCCCGUUCCCAUUUUUCGUCACCACUGAGCCAUUGCCAAAUUCCCUCCUUCUUUCAGUAAUACCAGUUUCUUCUUUAUAAGACCACACUGAACAUUUAUUUUUUGCUAAAUCUGAAAGAGCAAACCCAGGCACCCUUGUGAAACAUGCAAAAGCUGUUUGGUAACCAAGUGUUGUGGUAACCAAGAUUUCAG